rnacentral:rRNA from 1 species
CGUAGGACACAAACGUUAUCCGGAGUUACUGGGCGUAAAGGGCGUGUAGGCGGAUUGGUAAGUCUACUCUGAAAGCUCCUGGCUAAACUGGGAGAGGCGAGUGGAGACUGUCGGUCUAGAGUGAGGAAGAGGAAAGUGGAAUUCCGCGUGUAGUGGUGAAAUGCGUAGAGAUGCGGAGGAACACCAGUGGCGAAAGCGGCUUUCUGGUCCUUAACUGACGCUGAGGCGCGAAAGCAUGGGGAGCGAACGGGAUUAGAAACCCCGGUAGUCCAUGCCGUAAACGAUGUUCACUAAACGUUCGCGUCCCGCGAGGGAUACGGGUGUUGAAGCUAACGCAGUAAGUGAACCGCCUGGGGAGUACGGUCGCAAGGCUA